GAUGAACGCUGGCGGCGUGCCUAAUACAUGCAAGUCGAGCGAACAGAUAAGGAGCUUGCUCCUUUGACGUUAGCGGCGGACGGGUGAGUAACACGUGGGUAACCUACCUAUAAGACUGGGAUAACUUCGGGAAACCGGAGCUAAUACCGGAUAACAUUUGGAACCGCAUGGUUCUAAAGUGAAAGAUGGUUUUGCUAUCACUUAUAGAUGGACCCGCGCCGUAUUAGCUAGUUGGUAAGGUAACGGCUUACCAAGGCAACGAUACGUAGCCGACCUGAGAGGGUGAUCGGCCACACUGGAACUGAGACACGGUCCAGACUCCUACGGGAGGCAGCAGUAGGGAAUCUUCCGCAAUGGGCGAAAGCCUGACGGAGCAACGCCGCGUGAGUGAUGAAGGGUUUCGGCUCGUAAAACUCUGUUAUCAGGGAAGAACAAAUGUGUAAGUAACUGUGCACGUCUUGACGGUACCUAAUCAGUAAGCCACGGCUAACUACGUG
rnacentral:rRNA from 1 species